rnacentral:piRNA from 1 species
AGGUUAGUAAGAGUGCUUCAAGAGGGGAA